CGAGUUUUUGACUUGUCACAACCAGUACGCCCCUGCUUAUGAGAUGUCUUUUCUGAUCAAAGGAGCCAGGCUCUUGAUAACUUUAGAAAUCAUAAAGUGCGUAUCCUUGACCCAGUUUACAGUGUGUCUCAUUGUAGAGUUGUUGUUUUUUUUCAAGGAUAUGGAUUAUAUCAUUUUUCCUUCUUCUUAAGUUUUGUUAGGGUUGACGUGUUAGAUAUCAAUCAUCAGUUACAACCAGAGUAUACAGCUGCUGGGUCUACAUCGUGACAACACAGCUCUAGUGACUUGUCCAUCCGAAGGUCUUGGAAUCGCCCGUGCAGAUAAUGUUGAAAAAAGCCGCACACAAAAAAAAAAAAAAAACGAUACUGUCACAUGAAUGGUGUACUGGAACUGGGAGACCAACUUCAACUCGAAAACAAUGCAGCACCAAACUUACAGCUUCUACUGGACCGUCCAGAGAGCCCAUUGCAUGGCACCUGCUGGCAGAGAUGAGGCAAGAACAAGUCUUUUAACAACUUUUGACAAAGCUUAUAUCAACUCACUCUGUCUGAAUGUCUGGUAAAAAGUGUGUACACGUUAUUUCUCCCACACCCAUUCUCUGAUCAAGCUUAAACUUUGCACAAUUAUUCAUUGACAAUUAAUUACAUUUUUAAAAAGUAACUAAUUAGACGAUUAGACUACUGAUUUGUUAUUUUGUUUAAUAGCAACAAGGGAAACUAAUACUUCAGAUAUGACUAAAUUUUUUGGUUUAAGUCCCCUUAAAUAAUUGUUAACACUAUAACAAUUAUUAUUAGUAAAACAUGAAUCAAGAAACAAAAUACUCAAUUAGUCUUUUUAUUUACUUUAUUAAAAAAAUAUUUUUUUAAUUUGCUUGUCUUUUUAUAUUCUCACCAUUUCCAUCCCCCCCACUUUCAAUAUUAUUUUUUUUUUUUUUAUGAACUAAUGAGCAUGAUAUCCGCGUCAAAGCGUGUUCCAUCCGCUUGCUAUUUCAACCUUUAAUAUUAGAGGCCUACAUAUAUAAAUACGUUAUCUUGUUAAAGGCCUGGUUGCAUGUUUCUCAUCUGAACGAAUGUCAGUUCAAGUUGUGUCCCCUAGAUAAUCUAUGUUAUUUGUGGAUGAGACCUAAACUAUUUGUUUAUGAUUUGUCGUUUAUGAAAUGUUGAAUAGUGUAAUUUUGUGUAUACAGUCGUCUUAGAUUUAAUUAGCCAAAAAAAAUAAUGAUAAUAAAAUAAGCCUUUAUUGUAUUGCUCUAUUCAUAAACAUGGAGCUAAAUAACAAUAUUCUAUCCAAUGUAUAAUUUGUAAAGAGAUAAUUGCUGUUAUGUACAUCACACAAUUUCCCAUAGAUGCAAAAUAAAAGAUAUUCUCUAGUAAUAAUGAUUAAUAAAGCCUUGCAAUGGUGAAAAGUGCACUGUCAUUUUAAUCAAAAAUAAUCUCUAAAAUAUUAGACUGCAUUUGUAUAGACUCAAAAUGUUUUGCUUUUUCAUUGAGUGUUCAAUUUUUUUCUGAUAUAGACUAAUUUUUAAAAGCUAUUAUGUUUUAAGCUACAAUAUUAAGUAUUUUCUUUGCAUUAUAAUUAACAAAAAGAUAAGAAAAUAUAAAAAAAUUGAAUACUAAACAAAUAGUAAAAUAUUCAAAAAAUUAUAAUUAUUAA